AUUGAACGCUGGCGGCAGGCCUAACACAUGCAAGUCGAGCGGAUGAAGGGAGCUUGCUCCUGGAUUCAGCGGCGGACGGGUGAGUAAUGCCUAGGAAUCUGCCUGGUAGUGGGGGAUAACGUCCGGAAACGGGCGCUAAUACCGCAUACGUCCUGAGGGUGAAAGUGGGGGAUCGUCGGACCUCACGCUAUCAGAUGAGCCUAGGUCGGAGUAGCUAGUUGGUGGGGUAAGGGCCUACCAAGGCGACGAUCCGUAACUGGUCUGAGAGGAUGAUCAGUCACACUGGAGCUGAGCCACGGUCCAGACGCCUACGGGAGGCAGCAGUGGCGAAUAUUGGACAAUGGGCGAAAGCCUGAUCCAGCCGUGCCGCGUGUGUGGAGAAGGUCUUCGGAUUGUAAAGCACUUUAAGUUGGGAGGAAGGGCAGUAAGUUAAUACCUUGCUGUUUUGACGUUACCAACAGAAUAAGCACCGGCUAACUUCGUG
rnacentral:rRNA from 1 species